rnacentral:rRNA from 1 species
GACGAACGCUGGCGGCGUGCCUAAUACAUGCAAGUUGAGCGCUGAAGGUUGGUACUUGUACCAACUGGAUGAGCAGCGAACGGGUGAGUAACGCGUGGGGAAUCUGCCUUUGAGCGGGGGACAACAUUUGGAAACGAAUGCUAAUACCGCAUAAAAACUUUAAACACAAGUUUUAAGUUUGAAAGAUGCAAUUGCAUCACUCAAAGAUGAUCCCGCGUUGUAUUAGCUAGUUGGUGAGGUAAAGGCUCACCAAGGCGAUGAUACAUAGCCGACCUGAGAGGGUGAUCGGCCACAUUGGGACUGAGACACGGCCCAAACUCCCACGGGAGGCAGCAGUAGGGAAUCUUCGGCAAUGGACGAAAGUCUGACCGAGCAACGCCGCGUGAGUGAAGAAGGUUGUCGGAUCGUAAAACUCUGUUGGUAGAGAAGAACGUUGGUGAGAGUGGAAAGCUCAUCAAGUGACGGUAACUACCCAGAAAGGGACGGCUAACUACGUG